rnacentral:lncRNA from 1 species
UUGAGAAAAAUCGAGUCAAAGUCAUCAAAUGUGAGGCACGAGAAAGGGUAGCCUAUGUGAAAGUCCAGUCUGAGGUGUGGAAACUUUCUUUACAAUGCAAGAGAGAAGCAUUGAAGUGGUCUUCGACUUUGGCAAUUUAGCUUAGCAGUGGCUAAACUGUAGAAUCCAGCUAUAAAAACCGCCACAAAGUUCGAACGUGAGCAGCAAGGCAUCUCGCAGAGUGUUCUUCGGUGUUGCGGCAAAGUCUCAGCAAAGUUUCAAGAAAAAAUCUCGAUCCAUUUUCCCUCUUUUUGCAAGCAUGAAGAAGGUGACACUCUCAACUUGUGGGAGCUGCAAGGGAAAGACUGAUGCACUUAAGAAGAUCAAAGGUAUGUACAAACUUUGGAUUGGAAAUUCGAGAGCCGAUCUCGUGGAUGUUUCUGUUUUUGAACAACAGGGGUUGAUAAGGUGGAAUGGGAGUCGUCAGGCCUGGUAGUGAUCGGCAAAUUUGAUGUGGACGACGUGGUCAAGGCGAUGAAUUGCCACCACAGUGUUCUUCGUUCCAUCGAGAACAAUUACGAGCCCCCAAAGAAGAAGGAAGAGAAGAAGGAAGAGAAGGGGGGCAGUAGCGUUUUGUAUGUUUACGCCCACAACUACAAUCACUACAAUUGGAAGUGAAUUUGUUCUUCUAAUUGCUCUGCAAGAACAAGGGUGUGUAUGAAAUAAUUUCAAGAGUUUCAAAUCUAGAAGAGCACUGAAUUUGACAGAGCAUUUAAUUGUCAGAAUCAUAUCUGAUGUAAGGUUUUCAAAAGUUAGAUCUUUCUAUCUAUUUUUGUUGGUCCCAAUCGUGAAACUGAUGAAUGCAAAAGACUUUGCAUAGCACAAAUGCCGGUGCACGUCGCCGUAGUCAAGGCUAUACUUCUAGAUUCAGUGACAGGAAGAAUCUCACAGCGAGGGAGAGAGAGAGAGAGAGAACAAAGGGCCCAAGAUAAGAACAACCUUUUGUUUAAUGUCUAUAUCACCUUGCGGAAUUUCAUGGGAGAUUCGGCGCCAAAAAGUUACAACAUAAAAAAAAAGGUAAAGUCUUUUUGGAAACGCAGGGGUGGUGAAGUGGAAUCGGAGAGAGGAGAAGAAGGAACAGUCUCUGAUCAUGAAGUUCGUCUCUUCGCUUUCCCACGGUGCCACGCAAUGUGUUGGAAUAGUGGCAACGACCACUUCAAGUAGGGAAUCACCCAUGCCCGGAGGCUUGCUGCUGUAUGAUUUGCUGCUCAACUUGGAAAUUCAGUUCUGGGUUCAAACGCGACAACCUUUUGCAGGCUUUGAUGAAUCGGUCUCUCAUAAGAAGAAUAGACAGUUAAAGUUGCAACACAGCGGAUCUAGACGUGUGGAAUUUUCUUCUGCAUUAUGUCGUCUUUGACUAUUCGCUGAAAUCGCGAGGAAUUUGGUGGUGACGCGUCGUCCUACAAAGACUGUACCGUAGAAUCAAGCUAUAAAAACCGCAAACGUGAGCAGCAAGGCAUCUCGCAGCGUAUUUCUCGAUUUUCUGGCACAUCUUGAGCGAGCAACUCCAGUUUCCUUUCCUUGUAAGCAUGAAGAAGGCGACACUCUCAACUUGUGAAAACUGCAAGGGGAAGACUGACGCGCUCAAGAAGAUCAAAGGUAUAGCACAAUCUUUGCAUUGGAUCGCGGCCCUGAUUCCAUGAAAUCUCUGGUGCGGUUUUCCCAAUAGGGGUCGAUAAGGUGGAAUCGGAGUCGUCAGGCUGGUGGUGAUUGGAAAAUUUGAUGUGGACGACGUGCUAAAGGCGAUGGAUUGCCACCACAGUGUCCUUCGUUCCAUCGAGAACAAUUACGAGCCCCCCAAAAAGAAGGAAGCAGGCUCUAGCGUUAUAUAUGUGUACACCCACACCUACAACCAGUGGAAAACGUAUGAAACUAAAAAACGUAACGUUUUAAACGCGUUAAAAAACGCCGUUCUAAACUCCCAACGAGUUUGCACUAUUUGCGAAAAGAGACAAAGGUUUCUUUAGGGUUUCUUCAGAACUUCAUAAGGGAUCUCCCUCAUUGCUUUGCACGUUUUCACACCUCUUGCCCAAACUCCAGCACUCGCUCCGCUCCCCCAGUGUGAAUCUCAUGACAAUACUUACAUGUCCAGUGCCGCUCUGCUUGUAUCACAUGCUUCCAGCUCCAGCAUUCGUGGCGUCCUCCAAUUCCUGCCAUGAACCCUUAAAAAACCUCGCAGCAGUUUUUCCGAUUUCGAGCUAGCAGACCCAGCAGAUGCCGAUGAUGGGCAUCUGCUGCAGCAAGCCGCACAGGGUUCAGGGGGGCCAGCAGAAUCUAUGGUGGCAAGCACGGAGAACUGGUCCAGUGCUGAGACAAGCAGAUCAGCGAAACGGCUUCUUCUUUCAUUUGUUUUAGUAUGUUAUUCGGUUGGGUUUUAUAAACUUAAUAUUANNNNNNNNNNNNNNNNNNNNNNNNNNNNNNNNNNNNNNNNNNNNNNNNNNNNNNNNNNNNNNNNNNNNNNNNNNNNNNNNNNNNNNNNNNNNNNNNNNNNNNNNNNNNNNNNNNUUUGAACGUUUGCACGUCUAGCUGCAACUAUGACUGGAAGUGAGUUAAAUAGUGUUUGUGUGUAAAAAUAGAUUUUCUCUUCCACCUCAAAUUCUUGAAUGUGGAAUUCAUGGGAGUGAAGCCAAUUUCGAAAGUUGAUGUCUCAAUCAAGGGCAUUAAUUUAUCUCGGUUCAGAGUUCAAAAGUGAAUCUAAAACAUUGAUCCCACAGAAAGAAGAAAGAAAACGCACUGGUGCAUUUGACUGUAAAGGAAUGUGGUUCAUUCUUCACCUUGAACUUUGAGGAGAUUAAUUCUCUUCCUAAGAGUUUGAAAAUGAACGUGCGUCAUCACAUUUUAAAGAGUGGAACUCUGAAAAAAACCAUUUGUUUUAUUCCUCUCAACAGGAGGAGACUUGAACGAAGUCACUUUUCAAUUGCAGGAUAAAAAUGAUGUUUUGACGAAGUGAGUUCUUUACUAGAGCUGAGAGCCACAGUAUCAAACUAGAUUUAAUUUGUUUAGAAGAAUGUAUAAUGCUAUUCAAGCUUCAAAGUUUAGAAAAAUGGUCCGUGAACGUACACUGACCUUUCAAUCUUACCAUGGAUUUAAGCGAUCAAUGUAAGCUUCUUUGGUCUCCCAGCUAGAAUGGAUUUGACAAAGUUGAUGGCCAGUCGCGAUUGUGGUCCUUCUGGGUAAAAGUUUAAGUCAAGGACGCUUCUUUGGUCUCCCAGCAUGGGUUUUGUCAGCGAUUUCAAAAAGCUGCAACUCAUCAAAUGACGUCAAAUGUGAGGCACGAGAAAGGGAAGCCCAUGUGAAAGUCCAGUGUAUGCUCUGAAAACUUUCUAUACAAUGCAAGAGAGAAGCUUUGAAAUGGUCUUCGAUUUGGCAAUUUAGCGGUGGCUAAACUGUAGAAUCCAGCUAUAAAAACCGCCACAAAGUUCGAACGUGAGCAGCAAGGCAUCUCGCAGCGUGUUCUUCGGAGUUGCAAAGUCUCAGCAAAGGUUCAAGAAAAAAUCUCGAUCCAUUUUUCCUCCUUUUGCAAGCAUGAAGAAGGUGACACUCUCAACUUGUGGGAGCUGCGAGGGAAAGACUGAUGCGCUUAAGAAGAUCAAAGGUAUGUGGAUUGGAAAUUUGAAAGCUGAUAUCGUUUCUUGUUUUUGAACAACAGGGGUUGAUAAGGUGGAAUGGGAGUCGUCAAGCCUGGUAGUGAUCGGCAAAUUUGAUGUGGACGACGUGGUCAAGGCGAUGGAUUGCCACCACAGCAUUCUUCGUUCUGUCGAGAACGAUUAUGAGCCCCCAAAGAAGGACAAGGAGAAGAAGGGCGGUGGUUCUAGCGUUGUAUAUGUUUACACCCACACCUACAAUCACUACAAUUGCAAGUGAACUUCAGGAGUUUCUGAUCUAAAAGCCAAGUUCUUAGGGUUUCUUAUUUCGCAUACUUUAGUUUAAAAUUUAACCCUCAAUUUAACGUAAGGGUUUAAGGAUGGAAUUAAAUUUUCAAAACUUGAAUAUUUUUUGAUCAAACUGAUGAAUAAUGCCGGUGCUCAGCCGUAGUCAAUACGAUCGGUGUGGAGUUCUAGAAUAGUAAACUAGCAGAGUUUUUUCCUACCUUACCUUUCUUUAUGUUAUAAAAAACAACCAUCGAUUAACUGGUCCGAACUCACGGGAAACAGCUUUUUGGGGCCGAAAUUUCCACGAAAUUGUUCCCGCAAGGACAAUUAUGAGAGAGUAGAAGAAGGAACAUCAUGAAGUUCAUCCCACGGUGCCACGCAAUGUGUUGGAAUAGUGGCAACGACCACUUCAAGUAGGGAAUCACCCAUUUGCUGCUGUAUGAUUUGCUGCUCAACUUGGAAUCUAAGUUCUGGGUUCAAACGCGACAACCUUUUGCAGGCUUUGAUGAAUCGGUCUCUCAUAAGAAGAAUAGACAGUUAAAGUUGCAACACAGCGGAUCUAGACGUGUGGAAUUUUCUUCUGCAUUAUGUCGUCUUUGACUAUUCGCUGAAAUCGCGAGGAAUUUGGUGGUGACGCGUCGUCCUACAAAGACUGUACCGUAGAAUCAAGCUAUAAAAACCGCAAACGUGAGCAGCAAGGCAUCUCGCAGCGUAUUUCUCGAUUUUCUGGCACAUCUUGAGCGAGCAACUCCAGUUUCCUUUCCUUGUAAGCAUGAAGAAGGCGACACUCUCAACUUGUGAAAACUGCAAGGGGAAGACUGACGCGCUCAAGAAGAUCAAAGGUAUAGCACAAUCUUUGCAUUGGAUCGCGGCCCUGAUUCCAUGAAAUCUCUGGUGCGGUUUUCCCAAUAGGGGUCGAUAAGGUGGAAUCGGAGUCGUCAGGCUGGUGGUGAUUGGAAAAUUUGAUGUGGACGACGUGCUAAAGGCGAUGGAUUGCCACCACAGUGUCCUUCGUUCCAUCGAGAACAAUUACGAGCCCCCCAAAAAGAAGGAAGCAGGCUCUAGCGUUAUAUAUGUGUACACCCACACCUACAACCAGUGGAAAACGUAUGAAACUAAAAAACGUAACGUUUUAAACGCGUUAAAAAACGCCGUUCUAAACUCCCAACGAGUUUGCACUAUUUGCGAAAAGAGACAAAGGUUUCUUUAGGGUUUCUUCAGAACUUCAUAAGGGAUCUCCCUCAUUGCUUUGCACGUUUUCACACCUCUUGCCCAAACUCCAGCACUCGCUCCGCUCCCCCAGUGUGAAUCUCAUGACAAUACUUACAUGUCCAGUGCCGCUCUGCUUGUAUCACAUGCUUCCAGCUCCAGCAUUCGUGGCGUCCUCCAAUUCCUGCCAUGAACCCUUAAAAAACCUCGCAGCAGUUUUUCCGAUUUCGAGCUAGCAGACCCAGCAGAUGCCGAUGAUGGGCAUCUGCUGCAGCAAGCCGCACAGGGUUCAGGGGGGCCAGCAGAAUCUAUGGUGGCAAGCACGGAGAACUGGUCCAGUGCUGAGACAAGCAGAUCAGCGAAACGGCUUCUUCUUUCAUUUGUUUUAGUAUGUUAUUCGGUUGGGUUUUAUAAACUUAAUAUUAGAUUAAAGUGUCUUUAGUAAAUAUUAGUGUUUUCUUAAUCAUUUUAGGCUUUAACAUGUAAACGUUUGAUUGUCCUGAAAAAAACGUUUUAAACGGCAUUUAAACGUGGACGCGUUUGAACGUUUGCACGUCUAGCUGCAACUAUGACUGGAAGUGAGUUAAAUAGUGUUUGUGUGUAAAAAUAGAUUUUCUCUUCCACCUCAAAUUCUUGAAUGUGGAAUUCAUGGGAGGUGAAGCAAUUUCGAAAGUUGAUGUCUCAAUCAAGGGCAUUAAUUUAUCUCGGUUCAGAGUUCAAAAGUGAAUCUAAAACAUUGAUCCCACAGAAAGAAGAAAGAAAACGCACUGGUGCAUUUGACUGUAAAGGAAUGUGGUUCAUUCUUCACCUUGAACUUUGAGGAGAUUAAUUCUCUUCCUAAGAGUUUGAAAAUGAACGUGCGUCAUCACAUUUUAAAGAGUGGAACUCUGAAAAAAACCAUUUGUUUUAUUCCUCUCAACAGGAGGAGACUUGAACGAAGUCACUUUUCAAUUGCAGGAUAAAAAUGAUGUUUUGACGAAGUGAGUUCUUUACUAGAGCUGAGAGCCACAGUAUCAAACUAGAUUUAAUUUGUUUAGAAGAAUGUAUAAUGCUAUUCAAGCUUCAAAGUUUAGAAAAAUGGUCCGUGAACGUACACUGACCUUUCAAUCUUACCAUGGAUUUAAGCGAUCAAUGUAAGCUUCUUUGGUCUCCCAGCUAGAAUGGAUUUGACAAAGUUGAUGGCCAGUCGCGAUUGUGGUCCUUCUGGGUAAAAGUUUAAGUCAAGGACGCUUCUUUGGUCUCCCAGCAUGGGUUUUGUCAGCGAUUUCAAAAAGCUGCAACUCAUCAAAUGACGUCAAAUGUGAGGCACGAGAAAGGGAAGCCCAUGUGAAAGUCCAGUGUAUGCUCUGAAAACUUUCUAUACAAUGCAAGAGAGAAGCUUUGAAAUGGUCUUCGAUUUGGCAAUUUAGCGGUGGCUAAACUGUAGAAUCCAGCUAUAAAAACCGCCACAAAGUUCGAACGUGAGCAGCAAGGCAUCUCGCAGCGUGUUCUUCGGAGUUGCAAAGUCUCAGCAAAGGUUCAAGAAAAAAUCUCGAUCCAUUUUUCCUCCUUUUGCAAGCAUGAAGAAGGUGACACUCUCAACUUGUGGGAGCUGCGAGGGAAAGACUGAUGCGCUUAAGAAGAUCAAAGGUAUGUGGAUUGGAAAUUUGAAAGCUGAUAUCGUUUCUUGUUUUUGAACAACAGGGGUUGAUAAGGUGGAAUGGGAGUCGUCAAGCCUGGUAGUGAUCGGCAAAUUUGAUGUGGACGACGUGGUCAAGGCGAUGGAUUGCCACCACAGCAUUCUUCGUUCUGUCGAGAACGAUUAUGAGCCCCCAAAGAAGGACAAGGAGAAGAAGGGCGGUGGUUCUAGCGUUGUAUAUGUUUACACCCACACCUACAAUCACUACAAUUGCAAGUGAACUUCAGGAGUUUCUGAUCUAAAAGCCAAGUUCUUAGGGUUUCUUAUUUCGCAUACUUUAGUUUAAAAUUUAACCCUCAAUUUAACGUAAGG